CCCGCCGCCCAGCUCACCGCGGACUCGGACACCACGGAGCUGCCAGCAGCGGCGGGUACCGAGGACCCUGGUGGGGAAGGCCCCAGAAAGGCCUCCCAGUGCUGAGAGCUGAGACCGCCCCCACCUACGGUGCACCCCGGUGCCCUCCUUCAGACCAGAUGGCCCUUCCAGCUCCAACCCUUGGCCCUGCAUGACCUUGGUACCCGUCUCCUCUGGGGGCCACGGUGGGCUCCCUUGGGCCAGGAUGAUGGACGCUGCCAGUCACUAGUCCCCUUUACAAUCUGGAGAGUCAGCCAGGGACAGGGGGCCCUGAGCACUGGGAGGCCUGGGGGUGCUGGGGUGAGCAGACCUCUCCCUGCUGGCCCCGUCCCCUGGGGCUGCCCACCUUUAGGGUGCAGCCUGGUGUCCCUGAAACCAGGUGCUGGAUUACAGGCCUCCUGGAGAAAGGGGAGAGUGGGACCCCCGCCACGGAAGGCACAAAUUUGAAACUGUGGGAAAACUUACAAAGUCACAUAAACAAAUGCGAAAUAACAGCCUGCACUGUGUAGCAAACCCAACUCCUUCUAAUCAAGCAAACCUCAAGAAAAAACAAUCUGAACAACCACAACCACUAGAAACCCUCAGUGCAUAGUUCUGCCCGCCCACUUGGAGUGAGCUCUCCUUACAGGCCCCGAGGGCCCCGGCUGGGUGGGGGGCUCACCCCUGAACCCUGCUCUGGUCCCCAAGUCCUCAGACAGUGGGAAGCCCAGUGCAGAUCAGAGUGGUGGUCUCAGGGCGAGGGGAGGGGGACCUGCGGCUGCUCCAGUGAGAGGAACGGGCAGGACACGGACCGGCGUUAAGGACAGAAGACCCCACCCCAGCCCGGUCAGACCCAUUUCCUCAGCAGGGUCCUGGCCCGGGCUUCCAAACUGGCUUCAGGGCUGAACACAUCCCGCCACCCCCACUCCCUCCCUGGGCCUUUCAUUCUGGAAAAACAAGCCCCACCUGGCUGGCCUCGAGGCCUCUGCUGGCCUCUCCUCCUGUUUUUCCAACUGGUUUGUAUUAGUGCUGGCAGCUGCCCGCCCGCCCAUGUCUGUCUCCGUCGCACACUCUGGGGCCUUGGCCUCUGCAGUCUCUGUCUCCUUCCGUCACUCUCCCUGUUCCCUCUCUCCCCAUGGAGGGAGGACGGACAGCAGUUUGGUGGGGGGAUAGGGUUGGCCCUCGGGUCUGGGAGGGCCCGGCUCCAGGUGCAGUGCUGAGAGGGGCGCCUGGUCCGCACGACAGCCUCAGGCCAGGGCUCGCCUCACUCUGCAGGGCCGUCCCUCUCCGGGCAGUGGCCUCCAGCCACACUUUCGGGGACCCAGCCAGAGGAGAUGCAGGCCAGAGGCUGUCGUCUGAGAGGGCCCUGACCUCUGAGAGGGCCACCUGGGGGCAGCUGACCCCCGUGGGGCCCUGGGCAAGGAAUAAAAGGCUGAUGAGGCCACCAGGCCCCUUCCCUGACCCUCCCUGUCCGGCCCUCAGCAGGAAACAGCCACAGAGAAGAGCAGGCCUGGUAGUGACCAGGUCACCUGCUCCUCCCAGGGCCAGUGACCUGUGCCUCUUCGGCCCCUUCCUGGGCUGGGACUGCAGAGCCUCUGCUCGCUGGGGGGCGGGGGGGGCGGUCUGCAGAGCUGUGGGUGUGUGACUUAAUUCCCAGCCUGGCCUGGCAUUUUUCUCCCUCUGGGAAGAGGACAAACCAGGACAAAGCCACUGGCAUCACUGUGCUCUGGCUAAGCCCCCAGCCAAACCAGCGCUCUGGACCGUCCUCCUAGCUCCCCCUCCGGGGGCUGGGGUGGAGCAAGAGGGGUCAGCUGGCCCCACAGCCCGCACUGAGGAUCUGAUCUUGGCUGCCAUUCCUGGUGACUCGGACAUUCCAGGCAGCCCGGCUCAUUGGGAAGAAAAACCACAGGCACUCAGAGCCACAAGCAGCACAGCCAAGCCCAUAUUCACUCCCAUGAGUGUGCACACACAGACACAUGCACACACACAAAGACACACAUGGAGACACACAGAUACACACGCAUGCACACGAAGACACACGAAGACAGACACGCAUGCACAUGAAGACAUGGAGACACACCGAUACACGGAAACACACAGACACAUGCACACACACGAAGAGACAGACACACAUGCAUGCACAUGAAGACACAUGGAGACACAGAGAUACAUGGAAACACGAACACAGACAUGCACACACACGAAGACACAUGGAGACAGACACACGCAUGCACAUGAAGACACACGGACACAGAGAUACACGGAAACAAACACACAGACACAGGUCCACACACACAAACAGAGACACACACAGACACACAUGGAAAGACACACACAGAGACACGGACCUGUGGCCGCACAGCGGAUCAUCGAUGGCUGAAGAGUCCCACUUCCUGUCUUUCAGAAGCGUUUGCUGAGCACCUCCUGGGUGCCAGGCUUGCUGGGCACUGGGGACUCAGCACUAAGCCGGGUGCCAGCCGUGGCCCUCUUGGACCCCAGCCUCCUGGACUGUGCUGGAUGUGGUGGAGGGAAUGAGAGAGGGUGGGGGGCACCCAGGCUGGAGUGGCGAGGACGGAUGGACCCAAGGAAGCAACCUCUGUGACAGCAAAUGCCAGGCGAGGCCUGAGGACGCGGCUUCCAGGCGCAGCCAGCAGCGGGGCUGCCAGGAGUGGUCUUGGGACGCCAGGGACCUGUGUGUGUGGUAGGGGGGCCACUGCUGACACCAACACAGACAGGGUUAGGCUCCAGGACAAACCGUAUUCGCCGCCGCCGCACCUGCCACGCACAUUGGAAGCGUUAGCGCAGUUUUCCCUGCGUGGGGCUGGGUCUCCUACCCAGGCUGAGUUUCUCCCCUCUAAGAGGAAACACCGCCAGCCUUCUUUCUGCUACGGCCUUUGGAUUCUGAAAACUCGCUGUGGGGAGGGACGUGAGGCUCCGGCGCCGGGAACCCCUGCGGGCUAAGAUGGUGUUGGCCAAUCACAUCCAGUCACUCUCCUGGGAAAGUCACUUUUAUGGAGACAGCCCGCCAAGGGGGUCUCAAAAUAUAUUGAAGUUUUGGUUAGUUAUGUAUGCUGACUAAAUUUACAAAUAAACUUGUUUAUCAAAAACAAAAGAAAA